AACAACCUCAAUGUUCAACAAGAGGAUUCUUUGCAGCCUUUGGAAACUACGCUGUGGAAAGAUACCUGUAAUGUGAAAAAAUCCUCAUGCUAGGUGAAGAGAAACAAAGCAGGUUACAAAGAAAAAGUUUGCCAGCCCCCAUUUCGAAGACAGAAACAGAACACCUUUUCCACGUGGACCGCCGUUCUGAGAUAAAUGCUGGGUUCAUAAAGCGACCUCACGGAGUGCCAGCAAGGAUGAAGUAACCGCAUCUGAGGACACAUUUAGGACGGGGCUUUGUGAAGAGUCAGG